rnacentral:rRNA from 1 species
AUUGAACGCUGGCGGCAGGCCUAACACAUGCAAGUCGAACGGUAACAGGGAUCAGCUUGCUGAUUCGCUGACGAGUGGCGGACGGGUGAGUAAUGUCUGGGAAACUGCCUGAUGGAGGGGGAUAACUACUGGAAACGGUAGCUAAUACCGCAUAACGUCGCAAGACCAAAGAGGGGGACCUUCGGGCCUCUUGCCAUCGGAUGUGCCCAGAUGGGAUUAGCUAGUAGGUGGGGUAACGGCUCACCUAGGCGACGAUCCCUAGCUGGUCUGAGAGGAUGACCAGCCCCCCUGGAACUGAGACACGGUCUUGACUCCUACGGGAGGGAGCAGUGGGGAAUAUUGCACCAAGGGCGGAAGCCUGAUGCAGCCAUGGCGGGGGGAAGAAGAAGGCCUUUGGGGUGGUAAGUACUUUUAGCCGGGAGGAAGGGAGUAAAGUUAAUACCUUUGCUCAUUGACGUUACCCGCAGAAGAAGCACCGGCUAACUCCGUG